rnacentral:tRNA from 1 species
GGAUUGUGGCUCAGUGGCAGAGCACUUGCCUUGAACAUGCGAGGCACUGGGUUCGAUCCUCAGCACCA